AGCGAGGUAAACAGGAGUGUGUGUGAGUGUGUGUGUGUGUGUGUGUACCUGUGAGGUACUCCAGCACUGCAGCGAGGUAAACAGGAGUGUGUGUGUGUGUGUGUGUGUGUGUGUGUGUGUGUGUGUGUGUGUGUGUGUGUGUGUGUGUGUACCUGUGAGGUACUCCAGCACUGCAGCGAGGUAAACAGGAGUGUGUGUGUGUGUGUGUGUGUGUGUACCUGUGAGGUACUCCAGCACUGCAGCGAGAUAAACAGGAGUGUGUGUGUGUGUGUGUGUGUGUGUGUGUGUGUGUGUACCUGUGAGGUACUCCAGCACUGCAGCAG